rnacentral:rRNA from 1 species
GACGAACGCUGGCGGCGUGCUUAACACAUGCAAGUCGAACGGAAAGGCCCUGCGUUUGUGGGGUGCUCGAGUGGCGAACGGGGGAGUAACACGUGAGUAACCUGCCCUUGACUGUGGGAUAACUUCAGGAAACUGGGGCUAAUACCGGAUAGGAUCUCCUGCUGCAUGGGGGGGGUUGGAAAGUUUCGGCGGUUGGGGAUGGACUCGCGGCUUAUCAGCUUGUUGGUGGGGUAGUGGCUUACCAAGGCUUUGACGGGUAGCCGGCCUGAGAGGGUGACCGGCCACAUUGGGCCUGAGAUACGGCCCAGACUCCUACGGGAGGCAGCAGUGGGGAAUAGUGCACACUGGGCGGAAGCCUGAUGCAGCAACGCCGCGUGCGGGAUGACGGCCUUCGGGUUGUAAACCGCUUUCGCCUGUGACGAAGCGUGAGUGACGGUAAUGGGUAAAGAAGCACCGGCUACCUCCGU